AUUGAACGCUGGCGGCAUGCCUUACACAUGCAAGUCGAACGGCAGCACGGGAGCAAUCCUGGUGGCGAGUGGCGAACGGGUGAGUAAUAUAUCGGAACGUGCCCAGUCGUGGGGAUAACGUAGCGAAAGCUACGCUAAUACCGCAUACGAUCUAUGGAUGAAAGCGGGGGAGUCGCAAGACCUCGCGCGAUUGGAGCGGCCGAUAUCAGAUUAGGUAGUUGGUGAGGUAAAGGCUCACCAAGCCGGCGGAUCUGUAGCUGGUCUGAGAGGACGACCAGCCACACUGGGACUGAGACACGGCCCAGACUCCUACGGGAGGCAGCAGUGGGGGAAUUUUGGACAAUGGGCGGCAAGCCUGAUCCAGCAAUGCCGCGUGCAGGAUGAAGGCC
rnacentral:rRNA from 1 species